rnacentral:misc_RNA from 1 species
UCUCCGUUGGUGAACCAGCGGAGGGAUCAUUACCGAGUUUACAACUCCCAAACCCCAUGUGAACCUUACCAAACGUGGCUUCGGCGAGAUGCCCCGGGCGCGGGCCGCAAGGCCUCAGCCCCGGAACCAGGCGCCCGCCGGAGGCCCAAACCAAACUCUUGUUUUUGUAGAAUCUUCUGAGUGGCCUUUUAGGCAAAAAAUGAAUCAAAACUUUCAACAACGGAUCUCUUGGUUCUG